rnacentral:lncRNA from 1 species
AAGAAGUCAGGCCACUACAAGUGCCAUAGCUUGAGCAAACUAUGCAGCCUGUAGCUCCACCUGGGAAGGUGUAAAAAAUCUGGGAGGCCACAAACCAUGGAAGCUGUACGCAUGGCGUAGUGGACUAGCGGUUAGAGGAGACCCCUCCCUUGCAAGUCGCAGCAACAAUGGGGGCCCAAGGUGAGAUGAAGCUGUAAUCCCACUGGAAGGACUAGAGGUUAGAGGAGACCCCCCCGAAAUAAAAAACAGCAUAUUGACGCUGGGAAAGACCAGAGAUCCUGCUGUCUCCUCAGCAU